UCCCAGGUGGCUCAGUGGUAAAGAAUCUGCCUGCAAUGCAGGAAACCCAGGUUCGAUCCCUGGGUUGGAAA
rnacentral:tRNA from 1 species